UACAGAGGGUGCAAGCGUUGUUCGGAAUUAUUGGGCGUAAAGGGAGUGUAGGCGGUUUGAAAAGUCUUCUGUGAAAUCUACGGGCUUAGCCUGUAAAGUGCAGAGGAUACUAUCAGGCUUGAGUAUCGGAGAGGAUAGGGGAAUACCCAGUGUAGAGGUGAAAUUCGUAGAGAUUGGGCGGAACACCAGUGGCGAAGGCGCCUAUCUGGCCGAUAACUGACGCUGAGACUCGAAAGCAUGGGGAGCAAACAGG
rnacentral:rRNA from 1 species